rnacentral:rRNA from 1 species
ACGAACGCUGGCGGCGUGCUUAACACAUGCAAGUCGAACGGAAAGGCCCUGCUUUUGUGGGGUGCUCGAGUGGCGAACGGGGGAGUAACACGUGAGUAACCUGCCCUUGACUUUGGGAUAACUUCAGGAAACUGGGGCUAAUACCGGAGAGGAGCUCCUGCUGCAUGGUGGGGGUUGGAAAGUUUCGGCGGUUGGGGAUGGACUCGCGGCUUAUCAGCUUGUUGGUGGGGUAGUGGCUUACCAAGGCUUUGACGGGUAGCCGGCCUGAGAGGGUGACCGGCCACAUUGGGACUGCGAUACGGCCCAGACUCCUACGGGAGGCAGCAGUGGGGAAUAUUGCACAAUGGGCGGACGCCUGAUGCAGCAACGCCGCGUGCGGGAUGACGGCCUUCGGGUUGUAAACCGCUUUCGCCUGUGACGAAGCGUGAGUGACGGUAAUGGGUAAAGAAGCACCGGCUAACUACGUG